rnacentral:rRNA from 1 species
UCCAGACUCCUACGGGAGGCAGCAGUGGGGAAUAUUGCACAAUGGGGGGAACCCUGAUGCAGCGACGCCGCGUGAGUGAAGAAGUAUCUCGGUAUGUAAAGCUCUAUCAGCAGGGAAGAAAAUGACGGUACCUGACUAAGAAGCCCCGGCUAACUACGUGCCAGCAGCCGCGGUAAUACGUAGGGGGCAAGCGUUAUCCGGAUUUACUGGGUGUAAAGGGGGCGCAGACGGCAGCGCAAGCCAGGAGUGAAAGCCCGGGGCCCAACCCCGGGACUGCUCUUGGAACUGCGCGGCUGGAGUGCUGGAGAGGCAAGCGGAAUUCCUAGUGUAGCGGUGAAAUGCGUAGAUAUUAGGAAGAACACCAGUGGCGAAGGCGGCUUGCUGGACAGUAACUGACGUUGAGGCUCGAAAGCGUGGGGAGCAAACAGGAUUAGAUACCCUUGUA